ACAUCCCUCUGGUCUCUGCUCUCAGUGUCAGCUCUCCAGGGUCUCCAGGCAGAUCCCUCCAGCCUCUGCUCUGGUGUCACCUCUCCUGGGUCCCCAGGACCAUGAACAAACUCUCUGGUCUCCUCUGUGGUGUCACCUCUCCGGGGUCCCAAGGAGGAUCCCUCUGGUCUCUGUUCUCAGUGUCAGCUCUUCAGGGUCCUCAGGAGAUCCCUCCAGUCUCUGCUCUGGUGUCACCUCUCCAGGUCCCCAGCUGGUGAUGCUCAAUGGUGCUGCAGGUUUGCUGGCCAGGUGCCUCAGCACAGUCGUGUUCUCUGUUGCAGAAGUGUUGUUGUCCCAGUAAAUCACAGCCUGCUUGA